UCUUUCCCACCUACUUUCUUACUCUUUUCUAUUAUUAUUAUCAUCUAUUUCUGUUUGUUUUAUUUUGGCUUUUUAUUAAGAAUACAUCAAAAAUGCUGUCUUAGAGCCAAGCCAAUUUAACUGGAUAGAGGCAGUAGUGCUCUGUGAGUUGGCUGAGCUGUGCUGGGGUUUGCACCUACAUGAGGUGUGAAGGUUGUCUCUCCUCUUCUAAUUGAUAUAAAGCUCGUGCCUCAUUUCUUCUCAAGAAUUUGUUCCCAUUGCUUCGAAGCAAAGGGGCAUGCCUCUACAAACUGGAGGAGUUACAGGAGCUGGAAGCUCACCUGGCUUCAUGGUGUUAGCUCUCCUGCGCCUGCAAAGGAAAGAGCACUUGCAAUUGUUCGAGGAAACCCUCCAAAUAUCAAAGCACCUAAUAAUGAAGGGAAGCCGAGAGAGAAUAGGACGGGUUCUCCAGUAACCACAUUUCCAUACAAAUAUUUUAUGCAUGUGAAAAUAUGCAUUUUUUUGUUUAAGACGCAUGUAAAAUGUAGAUAAUCUUAAAAGCAUUUUUCUAAUGCAGUUUCUCCUGUGCACUUUCAAGAGGGAAUUGAAGUAACCCCAUUUCUCACAGAUGCUAAUUAAGAUACUUUUCUCUUUUACUGCUCUUGUUUAAUAUGUAACUUAGGACCAAAGGUUUAUCAAUCCCUGAUCUGUUGGGCUGAAAGUACUUCCUUAGUAAAUGUCUG